GACGAACGCUGGCGGCGUGCCUAACACAUGCAAGUCGAGCGGGGUUGAAGCGAGAGGUAACUCGAACUUCUACCUAGCGGCGGACGGGUGAGUAACGCGUGGGCAACCUGCCUCAAGGUCUGGGAUAACAGCCCGAAAGGGCUGCUAAUACUGGGUAUGCUUGUGGCCUCGCAUGGGGCUAUGAGCAAAGGGGAAACCCGCCUUGAGAUGGGCCCGCGUCCCAUCAGCUAGCUGGUGAGGUAACAGCUCACCAAGGCGACGACGGGUAGCCGGCCUGAGAGGGUGACCGGCCACACUGGGACUGAGACACGGCCCAGACUCCUACGGGGGCAGCAGUGGGGAUCUUGCACAAUGGGCGAAAGCCUGAUGCAGCGACGCCGCGUGAGCGAAGAAGGCCUUCGGGUUGUAAAGCUCUGUCUGGAGGGACGAAGGAAGUGACGGUACCUCCGGAGGAAGCCACGGCUAACUACGUGCCAGCAGCCGCGGUAAGAUCACG
rnacentral:rRNA from 1 species